ACCGGCGGCUCGAGUGGUGGCCACUAUUACUGGGCUUAAAGCGUUCGUAGCUGGCUUGUUAAGUCUCUGGGGAAAUCUUCCGGCUCAACCGGAAGGCGUCUCAGGGAUACUGGCAGGCUAGGGACCGGAAGAGGUGAGAGGUACUCCAGGGGAAGGCGUGUAAUCCGGCAGGCCAUGAGGGACAACAUUUGGCGCAGGAGUCGCAACAGGACGGCUACGCCCGGGCGGAACGAAAUUGAGUGAAGCAAGGCG
rnacentral:rRNA from 1 species